rnacentral:miRNA from 1 species
AUGAAGGUCUGCAUCGUAGC